rnacentral:rRNA from 1 species
AUUACUCCUACGGGAGGCAGCAGUGGGGAAUAUUGCACAAUGGGGGGAACCCUGAUGCAGCCAUGCCGCGUGUAUGAAGAAGGCCUUCGGGUUGUAAAGUACUUUCGGUGAUGAGGAAGGUGGUGUAUCUAAUAGGUGCAUCAAUUGACGUUAAUUACAGAAGAAGCACCGGCUAACUCCGUGCCAGCAGCCGCGGUAAUA